CAACCCUCAAGCCCAGCUUGGUGUUGGGGAUCGGCACAGGCGCCCUCGGGCGCCCGCCGUCCCCUAAAUCUAGUGGCGGUCCCGCUGCAGCCUCCUCUGCGUAGUAGUUUUCUCCUCGCAAGGGCAGCUCGGUGGCGACCUCGCCGUAAAACCCCCAACUUCUGAAA
rnacentral:misc_RNA from 1 species